UUGUCAGUCACGUGCGUUUGUUGUAAGCGACGUCACACCGGCGCCUUUUUUGUGGUAUCGCUUUGCGUGACAAUCUAAGAGAGACACAUAAUGCAAGAGAGAUACAUGCCAUAAAAAGGUCAAGCUGGAGAAAUACAAGAAAAUCGAGAGCACGCGGUAAUUAACAAACCAAACAUGCCAGGGUUCGUCAUUUUGAUAAACUGACUUACAUACAGGUUAUAGAUCCGUUUGAAUUAACUGCAAACCAUACCCAACAAACACACAACGUUGCCUCAACGUAGCGACCUUCCUACAACGUUGUACCAACAUUGCAAAAAGGUUGAGGAUUCUACGUUGUUUCUAAAGGUUGUCACAACGAUGUCAUAAGGUUGCCAUUUAAACAUCAUGAGGGUCGCAUGCUUUAGGUUGUGCUUAGGUGGCGUGGACGACCACUGUACAACAUUUACUGGUCACAGCUGAAUCAGUUUAAAUUUCAACAAGCCGUCGUCUCAUUCAUCAACGACCGAGGAGACAAUGUUUUCAGCUGUUGAAUUCACCUCAGAUCAGUGUUGCUGUAAUUCCUGAUGGAAAGAAGAAUUGGAUGAGCGAGCAACGCCACAACUACAGGACCUCUUCUUUCUCUUCU